GCAGUCUGCAACUCGAGUGCAUGAAGCUGGAAUCGCUAGUAAUCGCGGAUCAGAAUGCCGCGGUGAAUACGUUCCCGGGUCUUGUACACACCGCCCGUCACACCAUGGGAGUCGGGAAUGCCCGAAGCCGGUGGCCCAAUCGAAAGAAGGGAGCCGUCGAAGGNAGGCCGGAUGACUGGGGUGAAGUCGUAACAAGGUACC
rnacentral:rRNA from 1 species